ensembl:processed_transcript Gm11335 predicted gene 11335
GGGUCCUUUGUCCCCAUUCCGGACUUCCCGGCCAUUUUAACGAGUUCAGACUAAACAGUUUCUUUAGCAAUACAUAUUUGUCACUUGUAACAAAUUUAGAAAGACAGGAGAUCUUUGGUGAGCCAAGCGAUCACAAAUACUGAUGUGGAGGUCUCGCUUCCCAUGUUUUUAUUUUCGGCUGUAAAGGACUAAACACUGGAGAAAAUAGCACCAUUUCUUCCACUAUCUCGACUUAAGGACAAACCUGAUCCCAAACUCUUCGCGCAGAAAUAAAAGUCAAUCAACAAUUCUCACCAGCUGUGCCACCAUGUCCCAUGGUGGGGAAGCCACACAGGUCAUCUGAGCAUCCAAGCUGCUUUUCAAGAAAUCUCCAAUUCCAGGAAGAAUGAGAACAUCAUUCUGUUGUGGGGUGCUCAUCAGAGAAGACUUCUCGGACAUGGGUUUUAGCCAAUAGAAAAUCUUUCUUAGCUGACCAAUGACUGACUACACUGUGUGUUCCAGAUCACGGUGUAGCACUGAGCCUUUCUCAGGGUUGAGCCUUUAAGCACAAAAAUCAUAGCCCAGGUUGACAUACUUCAGUUAUCAAGAACAGUUAGCCAGAAGCAGAACACCGAAGCCAGAAAACAAGGGUGGUACUUCUAGGGACUCUCCCAGAACUAUGGACUUUGAUGAAUUGAGUUUUUGUUUUAGUUUUGGCAGGUAGUGCCACCUACUACAUACAGCCUGAAUGGCAUUCAAUUAGGGAGUCAGCUGUGCUAAGGUCUCAGGGCCUGUUACAUUCCAAAGUUGCAGAACUAAAGAAUGUGUCUGUGAGAACAAAGCUCACCUGGUAGAUGAUUGUGGAAUUCCAGAACAAACGUGUGUAAAGAAUUCAUGUUUCUAUUUCAUUCUUCCUAUUUUCCAGAUGUUAUUCUACUGACAGGAAAGAAAGGCUAUGUGAAAGGCCCCUUUCUGAGCCCUAGUAAUUGCUUGUUAGUAAUCAUGAAAGCAUCAUGAGUUCAUGAAUGUUUCUUCUUUAAAAUUAUUAUAAUACCAUUUGUAUUCAUAAAUUAAGUGUAAAACAUGAUAAUAGUCAAAAGU